rnacentral:lncRNA from 1 species
UUGCCUUCAUCUUUUUUCUCCUCGAUAUAAUUUGCUUGCUGGUUGAAGCAGCAAUCCUUCUUCAAAUGGCUGAACUUCUUGCAGUUGUGGCAUUGUGGCUUCUCCUUGAACCAACAAUCCUUCUCUUCAUGGCUACUCCUAUUACAAAUUCUGCACUUCUUUUGAGAGUUGUUACCUUCAAUUUUUCGAUCAUAACUUCC